CAUGCGGGGCAGGGGAAUGAAAUUAUAAUAAAGGAAAAAAAGAGAAGAUUAGCAUGGCCCCUAGGCAAGGAUGACACACAAAAUCGUGAAGCGUUCUACAUAUUU